rnacentral:rRNA from 1 species
CAGCCGCCGCGGGAAUACGGAGGGUGCAAGCGUUAAUCGGAAUUACUGGGCGUAAAGCGCACGCAGGCGGUCUGUCAAGUCAGAUGUGAAAUCCCCGGGCUUAACCUGGGAACUGCAUUUGAAACUGGCAGGCUAGAGUCUUGUAGAGGGGGGUAGAAUUCCAGGUGUAGCGGUGAAAUGCGUAGAGAUCUGGAGGAAUACCGGUGGCGAAGGCGGCCCCCUGGACAAAGACUGACGCUCAGGUGCGAAAGCGUGGGGAGCAAACAGGAUUAGAGACCCGCGUAGUCCCUGUCUCUUAUAC